AUAGCGUAUAUUAAAGUUGUUGCCGUUAAAAAGCUCGUAGUUGAACUUCAGGCCUGGCCGGAUGGUCUGCCUAACGGUAUGUACUGUCUGGCUGGGUCUUACCUCUUGGUGAGCCGGCAUGCCCUUCACUGGGUGUGUUGGGGAACCAGGACUUUUACCUUGAGAAAAUUAGAGUGUUCAAAGCAGGCUUAUGCUCGAAUACAUUAGCAUGGAAUAAUAAAAUAGGACGUGCGGUUCUAUUUUGUUGGUUUCUAGAGUCGCCGUAAUGAUUAAUAGGGAUAGUUGGGGGCAUUAGUAUUCAGUUGCUAGAGGUGAAAUUCUUGGAUUUACUGAAGACUAACUAUUG
rnacentral:rRNA from 1 species